UGACGACUGUAAGAGGAAAUGGACA
rnacentral:piRNA from 1 species